UUAAGUUAGAAAGGGCGCACGGUGGAUGCCUUGGCACUAGGAGCCGAUGAAGGACGGGACGAACACCGAUAUGCUUCGGGGAGCUGUAAGCAAGCUUUGAUCCGGAGAUUUCCGAAUGGGGAAACCCACCACUCGUAAUGGAGUGGUAUCCAUAUCUGAAUUCAUAGGAUAUGAGAAGGCAGACCCGGGGAACUGAAACAUCUAAGUACCCGGAGGAAGAGAAAGCAAAUGCGAUUCCCUGAGUAGCGGCGAGCGAAACGGGAUUAGCCCAAACCAAGAGGCUUGCCUCUUGGGGUUGUAGGACACUCUGUACGGAGUUACAAAGGAACGAGGUAGAUGAAGAGGUCUGGAAAGGCCCGCCAUAGGAGGUAACAGCCCUGUAGUCAAAACUUCGUUCUCUCCUGAGUGGAUCCUGAGUACGGCGGAACACGUGAAAUUCCGUCGGAAUCCGGGAGGACCAUCUCCCAAGGCUAAAUACUCCCUAGUGACCGAUAGUGAACCAGUACCGUGAGGGAAAGGUGAAAAGCACCCCGGAAGGGGAGUGAAAGAGAUCCUGAAACCGUGUGCCUACAAGUAGUCAGAGCCCGUUAACGGGUGAUGGCGUGCCUUUUGUAGAAUGAACCGGCGAGUUACGAUCUCGUGCAAGGUUAAGCAGAAGAUGCGGAGCCGCAGCGAAAGCGAGUCUGAAUAGGGCGCAUGAGUACGUGGUCGUAGACCCGAAACCAGGUGAUCUACCCAUGUCCAGGGUGAAGUUCAGGUAACACUGAAUGGAGGCCCGAACCCACGCACGUUGAAAAGUGCGGGGAUGAGGUGUGGGUAGGGGUGAAAUGCCAAUCGAACCUGGAGAUAGCUGGUUCUCUCCGAAAUAGCUUUAGGGCUAGCCUCAAGGUAAGAGUCUUGGAGGUAGAGCACUGAUUGGACUAGGGGCCCCUACCGGGUUACCGAAUUCAGUCAAACUCCGAAUGCCAAUGACUUAUCCUUGGGAGUCAGACUGCGAGUGAUAAGAUCCGUAGUCGAAAGGGAAACAGCCCAGACCGCCAGCUAAGGUCCCAAAGUAUACGUUAAGUGGAAAAGGAUGUGGAGUUGCUUAGACAACCAGGAUGUUGGCUUAGAAGCAGCCACCAUUUAAAGAGUGCGUAAUAGCUCACUGGUCGAGUGACUCUGGCCCGAAAAUGUACCGGGGCUAAACGUAUCACCGAAGCUGCGGACUGUUCUUCGAACAGUGGUAGGAGAGCGUUCUAAGGGCUGUGAAGCCAGACCGGAAGGACUGGUGGAGCGCUUAGAAGUGAGAAUGCCGGUAUGAGUAGCGAAAGAGGGGUGAGAAUCCCCUCCACCGAAUGCCUAAGGUUUCCUGAGGAAGGCUCGUCCGCUCAGGGUUAGUCGGGACCUAAGCCGAGGCCGAAAGGCGUAGGCGAUGGACAACAGGUUGAUAUUCCUGUACCACCUCCUCACCAUUUGAGCAAUGGGGGGACGCAGGAGGAUAGGGUAAGCGCGGUAUUGGAUAUCCGCGUCCAAGCAGUUAGGCUGGGAAAUAGGCAAAUCCGUUUCCCAUAAGGCUGAGCUGUGAUGGCGAGCGAAAUAUAGUAGCGAAGUUCCUGAUUCCACACUGCCAAGAAAAGCUCUAGCGAGGUGAGAGGUGCCCGUACCGCAAACCGACACAGGUAGGCGAGGAGAGAAUCCUAAGGUGAUCGAGAGAACUCUCGUUAAGGAACUCGGCAAAAUGACCCCGUAACUUCGGGAGAAGGGGUGC
rnacentral:rRNA from 1 species